UACGGAAGGCAGCAGGGGGAAUAUUGCACAAUGGGCGAAAGCCUGAUGCAGCUAUGCCGCGUGUAUGAAGAAGGCCUUAGGGUUGUAAAGUACUUUCAUCGGGGAGGAAAAAACAAAACUAAUAAUUUUAUUUCUUGACGUUACCCGAAAAAGAAGCACCGGCUAACUCCGUGCCAGCAGCCGCGGUAAUACGGAGGGUGCUAGCGUUAAUCAGAAUUACUGGGCGUAAAGAGCACGUAGGUGGUUUUUUUAAAGUCAGAUGUGAAAUCCCUGGGCUUAACCUAGGAACUGCAUUUUGAAACUGAAAUACUAGAGUAUCGUAGAGGGAGGUAGAAUUCUAGGUGUAGCGGUGAAAUGCGUAGAUAUCUGGAGGAAUACCUGUGGCGAAAGCGGCCUCCUAAACGAAUACUGACACUGAGGGUGCGAAAGCGUGGGGAGCAAACAGGGAUUAGAUACCCGU
rnacentral:rRNA from 1 species